UACGUAGGCAGCGAGCGUUGUUCGGAAUUACUGGGCGUAAAGAGUGUGUAGGCGGUGCUCUAAGUUCGGUGUGAAAUCUCCUGGCUCAACUGGGAGGGUGCGCCGGAAACUGGAGUGCUUGAGCGUGGGAGAGGAAAGCGGAAUUCCUGGUGUAGCGGUGAAAUGCGUAGAUAUCAGGAGGAACACCAAUUGCGAAGGCAGCUCGCUGGGACGUUACUGACGCUGAGACGCGAAAGCGUGGGGAGCAACCAGG
rnacentral:rRNA from 1 species